GACGUAGGGCGCGAGCGUUGUCCGGAAUUAUUGGGCGUAAAGAGCUCGUAGGCGGUUUGUCGCGUCUGCUGUGAAAUCCUCAGGCUCAACUUGGGGCGUGCAGUGGGUACGGGCAGACUAGAGUGCGGUAGGGGAGACUGGAAUUCCUGGUGUAGCGGUGGAAUGCGCAGAUAUCAGGAGGAACACCGAUGGCGAAGGCAGGUCUCUGGGCCGUUACUGACGCUGGAGGAGCGAAAGCAUGGGGAGCGAACAGG
rnacentral:rRNA from 1 species